CCUACGCGUGGCUGCAGUCGAGAAUCAUUCACAAUGGGGGAAACCCUGAUGGUGCGACGCCGCGUGGGGGAAUGAAGGUCUUCGGAUUGUAAACCCCUGUCAUGUGGGAGCAAAUUAAAAAGAUAGUACCACAAGAGGAAGAGACGGCUAACUCUGUGCCAGCAGCCGCGGUAAUACAGAGGUCUCAAGCGUUGUUCGGAAUCACUUGGCGUAAAGCGUGCUUAGGCGGUUUGGUAAGUCGUGUGUGAAAGGCACGGGCUCAACCCGCGGACGGCACAUGAUACUGCGAGACUAGAGUAAUGGAGGGGGAACCGGAAUUCGCGGUGUAGCAGUGAAAGGCGUAGAUAGCGAGAGGAACACUCGUGGCGAAGGCGGGUUCCUGGACAUUAACUGACGCUGAGGCACGAAGGCCAGGGGAGCGAAAGGGAUUAGAUACCCUAGUAGUC
rnacentral:rRNA from 1 species